rnacentral:rRNA from 1 species
AACGAACGCUGGCGGCAGGCCUAAUACAUGCAAGUCGAACGCACCGCAAGGUGAGUGGCAGACGGGUGAGUAACGCGUGGGAACCUUCCCUAUAGUACGGAAUAACUCAGGGAAACUUGAGCUAAUACCGUAUACGCCCUUCGGGGGAAAGAUUUAUCGCUAUAGGAUGGGCCCGCGUUGGAUUAGCUAGUUGGCGGGGUAAUGGCCCACCAAGGCGACGAUCCAUAGCUGGUCUGAGAGGAUGAUCAGCCACACUGGGACUGAGACACGGCCCAGACUCCUACGGGAGGCAGCAGUAGGGAAUCUUGGACAAUGGGCGAAAGCCUGAUCCAGCCAUGCCGCGUGAGUGAAGAAGGCCUUAGGGUUGUAAAGCUCUUUUGGCGGGGACGAUAAUGACGGUACCCGCAGAAUAAGCCCCGGCUAACUUCGUGCCAGCCGCCGCAGUAACAC